rnacentral:rRNA from 1 species
GACGAACCGUGCGAACGUUGUUCGGAAUCACUGGGCUUAAAGGGCGCGUAGGCGGUUUGCCAAGUCAGGGGUGAAAUCCUGCAGCUCAACUGUAGAAGUGCCUUUGAUACUGGCGAACUCGAGGGAGGUAGGGGUGGGUGGAACUUCUGGUGGAGCGGUGAAAUGCGUUGAUAUCAGAAGGAACGCCGGUGGCGAAAGCGACCCACUGGACCUCUUCUAACGCUGAGGCGCGAAAGCCAGGGGAGCAAAGCGGG